UAAAGAAGAGAAUAUAGAGAGUGUAGGGAAAUAAGUUUACUUGUCUUCCUUCUUUUUUGGCUUUCCUUUUGAUUUUCCUUU
rnacentral:ribozyme from 14 species